GCCUUCGUGGUGUAAUGGUAGCACACGCGGCUUGUAUUCAAGAGCUCCAGGUUCGAAUCCUGGCGAGGGUA
rnacentral:tRNA from 1 species